rnacentral:rRNA from 1 species
ACUCGAGUGGCGAACGGGUGAGUAACACGUGGGUGAUCUGCCCUGCACUUCGGGAUAGGCCUGGGAAACUGGGUCUAAUACCGGAUAGGAGCCAUUUUUAGUGUGAUGGUUGGAAAGUUUUUCGGUGUAGGAUGAGCUCGCGGCCUAUCAGCUUGUUGGUGGGGUAAUGGCCUACCAAGGCGGCGACGGGUAGCCGGCCUGAGAGGGUGGACGGCCACAUUGGGACUGAGAUACGGACCAG